ACUUUCUCCACUAACUAUUCUUUCCCUUUUCUCUCUCAUAACUCUGGAGAAAAAGAGAGAGAGAGAGAGAAAGAAAGAGACUGAGUUUUAGUUAACUUGAGAAAGCUUUCAAAUAUGAAAGCAAAGCACAAUUUUCUUCAUGGUGACGUUAGAGCCAAAAUCAUCAUGCAGAAGGGUGAAGCUGAAGCUGGAGAGUCCAUUGAAGAUUAUAAUAAUAAGAGUAAUUGGUUUGUGAUGGAGACAAUCACUACUUCAUCUUAAACUGGUGCUAUCCUACCUGAGCUUUUUCAACAAUCCCUUUCGUCUUCAUUUUUAUUUUGUUUUAAUUUCUUUCUUUCCUUAAUUUGUUUCUAUAUAUAGUCUUCUUGACCUUGUAAGACCUUUUCUUGACCUUGUAAGACCCCUUUUUGUGUAUUUUUAUUUUACCUUUUGUUUUUUUAACAAACUCUUUAUCGGAAUUUUCUGAUAUAGAGUUUGAUCACCAUGUCUCUCCGUUUCCGCUCAACUCAUAUUCUCCUUCCUUGUCUAUCCCUCCUGAGCUGUUGGAAUCAAUCCGACGAUCUUUCUUCCUAAUUUGAAAUUCUUCAAAUAAACACCAUAUUUGCAAUGUGGGGUUUAAGUUUUUAUCCAAUAAUGUAUAGAUGUUGUUUAUGAGUUUGAGAUAUGUAUUACUUCUACUUGUAGCAAUAGUAAAAAAAGGUCUGUGUCUUAGUUUGCGUAUAGUUUGUUAUGUAUUUCACAGUGAAAACUCUCUUUCUUAUACUGUUAAGACCAUCAAUUUCAAUUGUUAGUUCGUCAGGAGUGCAGAAACAUGCUUUUGCAGGCUUCAGUUUCGUUGUUUUUUAUGUUGUUUUCUGAGAAAAUAAGCAAGAGAAUAAAUAUUCUUUCA